rnacentral:tRNA from 1 species
GGGGUUAUAGUUUAACUAAAUAACAUUUAAAUUGCAAUUAAAAGUAACCUUAAUAGGUUAACCUCA